GAUGAACGCUGGCGGCGUGCUUAACACAUGCAAGUCGAACGGAAAGGCUCCUGCUUGCAGGGGUACUCGAGUGGCGAACGGGUGAGUAACACGUGGGUGAUCUGCCCUGCACUUCGGGAUAAGCCUGGGAAACCGGGUCUAAUACCGGAUAGGACGAUGGUUUGGAUGCCAUUGUGGAAAGUUUUUCGGUGUGGGAUGAGCUCGCGGCCUAUCAGCUUGUUGGUGGGGUAAUGGCCUACCAAGGCGUCGACGGGUAGCCGGCCUGAGAGGGUGUACGGCCACAUUGGGACUGAGAUACGGCCCAGACUCCUACGGGAGGCAGCAGUGGGGAAUAUUGCACAAUGGGCGCAAGCCUGAUGCAGCGACGCCGCGUGGGGGAUGACGGCCUUCGGGUUGUAAACUCCUUUCGUCAGGGACGAAGCGAAAGUGACGGUACCUGGAUAAGAAGCACCGGCUAACUACGUG
rnacentral:rRNA from 1 species